GGCAUAUGAAGAGGUCAAGAGAUCGAGAUCAUCCCGGCCAACAUGGUGAAACCCCAUCUCUACUAAAAACACAAACAUUAGCUAGAAAUAACAAGAAAGUUAGAAAGUCUUCUGCCUCCCAUCAGAAAAUGAGCUCAAGUGUUGCGAGUAUCCGUUGAAAAUGCCAUCUGAUGCUAAUCAUCUCUGAGUGAACCCUACAUCUUACAGUAAAUUGCAUAUUGCAAUAAAAAGUGAUCUCUCA